UACGGAGGAUGCAAGCGUUAUCCGGAUUUAUUGGGUUUAAAGGGUGCGUAGGCGGGAAAAUAAGUCAGUGGUGAAAUCCUGCAGCUUAACUGCAGAACUGCCGUUGAUACUGAUAGUCUUGAGUUUGGUUAAGGUAGGCGGAAUGUGUAAUGUAGCGGUGAAAUGCUUAGAUAUUACACAGAACACCAAUUGCGUAGGCAGCUUACUGAGCCGACACUGACGCUGAGGCACGAAAGCGUGGGGAUCAAACAGGAUUAGA
rnacentral:rRNA from 1 species